rnacentral:rRNA from 1 species
UAGGGAAUCUUCGGCAAUGGGGGGAACCCUGACCGAGCAACGCCGCGUGAGUGAAGAAGGUUUUCGGAUCGUAAAGCUCUGUUGUUAAGGAAGAACGAGUGUGAGAAUGGAAAGUUCAUGCUGUGACGGUACUUAACCAGAAAGUGACGGCUAACUACGUGCCAGCAGCCGCGGUAAUACGUAGGUCCCGAGCGUUGUCCGGAUUUAUUGGGCGUAAAGCGAGCGCAGGCGGUUAGAAAAGUCUGAAGUGAAAGGCAGUGGCUCAACCAGUGGAGGCAUUGGAAAAUGUAUAAGUGGAGUGCAGAAGGGGAGAGUGGAAUUGCAUGUGUAGCGGUGAAAUGCGUAGAUAUAUGGAGGAACACCGGUGGCGAAAGCGGCUGACUGGUCAGUAACUGACGCUGAGGCACGAAAGGGUGGGGAGCGAACAGG